CGUUGGCAGCCAUCGUUGGCAGCCAUCUAUUGUAGUUUUUAGUUCCAUCUACGCGUGGUUUAUUUGCAGCAGCAGAUGUUUUCUUUUCCUUCUCUUGCUCUCCUCGCUCUCUCCGUCUAGUCUCUGAGUCAAGACAUGCCAUCAUCUGUGUUACUGGGUUUUCUUAUGAUGGAGAGGAAGAGAUAUUUAGUCUGAGACGUCGAUCUACGUGGAUAGGCCAAUAUAUAAGUUGGUUUUUGUCGUGGGUUAUCGAUUUCGGUUUGCUGUGGAUCUCUACAGUAACAUAGGGCACGAGGGUUGAAUAAUUAUGCUCCUGGAGUUGAAAAGGAGUUCAAUUUGUUUGGUUGGGUUUGCACUAUUGGUGAAUUCGGAGGCAAAAAUGAAAGUUGAAAUUGGCAGACAAAUGUGGAUUCUGCAGUUUUGACUCAUGCAAAGCAGUAAAUGGACUACCAACUGCUAAGGCCUAGAGGUACGCUUAGCUUGGGGGAAAAAAAACUAUUGCAUUAUAGCUUCAGAGUUAUGACAUGACUGUUCAUUGCUAAUUGCUAAAUGGUCAAAAUGGUUACAGACGUCCUUAGGUAAACCAAUCAGUUUCUGUCCAGUGGAAACAAUUUCCAGAAUAAGUGUGGUAUGAUUUACAGCUGAUUGUGAAUGUGAUUGGGUGUAUAUUUGAGUUCUGUUAUUUGUAUGAAGUUUUCUAUUCGCGCUCAUCUAGAAACUGAACUCGGGCUUACAAGAUACAAAGAGUAAGCUAUGAAAUAUGCAGGAAAAUAUAUAAAAUAAAUUUAGCACAAUAACAAAACAAGUUUGGUUAUAUCAGGAUUUUGAAUGGUGCAGACAGACGAGUAAAAAGAGGAGAAGUUGAUACAGCUAUGUAAAGAGCUCCUAGAAUGACCGAGGUUGUUGACAAGGAACUACUCCAGGUAUAUUUUCAGAUGCAUUGUUGUGGAGUAACUGGAAUUGUGGAACAUUUUUUUCUCUGUUAUCAAUGAACUUAUGAGAGCCUUGACUUUGUGGUUUUUCUAUCUAACUAUGUAAGACAUGCUUUUAGGGUUCUUUAAAAUUGAGUUUGACGAAUGGUAGAAAUGGGAUACUUUUCUUAUGAUAUAAAUAAAAUGGUGGUACGUUGGUUGAAGAAAAAGGGGAAGAAAGAAGCGUAUAUCGAUCGUGAUGGUUUUGAUUAUGCAAGGACAAUAAUCGUUGUCGUUCUUAAAUUCCUGUAGUCUCUUUGGUUGUCUUAUUGUUGGCUAUUUGGUAUUUGUAGAAUUGCACUUAGGAGAAUGAGUCUGCAAGACUGCAACUAUUUGAGAUUGAUCAGUUUAAAUUGUUCUUAAAUUCCUGUAGAGUGAAGCUACUUGGUACUAAUUGUAUUGUCUUUGUUAUGAUUAAUGCAGGAGAUCUUCAUUGGAAAAUUGCUUCUGCUUAUAUCAAUAGGAUCAGUCAGGUAAAGCUCCUUGCAUGACUGUGAUGAACUGGUCAUCAUUCAGCAGUGAACAAUUGCAUGUGUUUUGUGUUCACGCUUCAUACGAUGUAUCAGUUGGCAAUGAACAAAGUUGUGAUCCUUGGGGUUUGUAGUUUUUGGUGUGUAUGUAUAAUGAACAAUAGGUGCAUUCAUAGUGAGGAUGCAGCCUUGCCAGAUAUUACAUUGUUUUGUAUACGUAAAUGUAGAAUCCGUUUCAGACUGA